UCUCUGCUUAAGCUAUUCUCAGGGCUCUAUCUCUCUUUGCUAUAGAGAGCUCUGGGCCCCAGCAUGCUGGUCUCCAAAUAAACCCACCCUUCUGCUGUUGCAUGAGACAGUCUCUUGUGGUCUCUCCUCCGACAUUUCGCCGGACCCUACAUUUGGUGCAUUGGCCGGGAACUGCGCAUCGCCGGACAGAGAGACCUCAACAAGACUCCUUUGGGGGGUAAAACACCAGACCUGGCAGACUCUCUGUGCCUCAGAAUGGCCCACCUUUGGAGUCAGAUGGCCCCCAGAAGGAUCUUUCUACUUCCCACUAAUUUGAAAAGUCAGAGAUAUUGUCUUUGUCUUUCAGCCGGGACCACAUAGCCAUCCAGAUCAACAGCCGUAUAUCUUAACUUGGCAGGACCUCUGCAAAUCUCCUCCUCCAUGGGUGAAGUCUUUCCUUGUUCCUGCCCCCACUCCUACUCCUCCCUCCACGAUUCUAUCUCUCAAACCCUCUGCUCCUUCUCUACCCUUUGUUCUCCCUGAGUCUCAAGAUUUGACUCUGCUGGACUCUCCUCCAUUUCCUUAUCCCCUGCCUUCGUUCCCCAACCCCCAACACCCUCUAAGUGAUUCCCCUGCUGCUGACUCAGCUUCUCCACCAUUGGAGGAGGUUAAGCCGGCCCAGCACCCUCCAGAUGACGUCCCCGAGACACACACAGCCCCUCCUCCCCUGAAGGAAACUGGCCCUGCUAAAAAAGACUCAAAGAACUCGCCGGCAUUUUCACACCAGCCUACUUGGGAUGACUGCCAACCACUCCUAGGGACUCUCUUCAUGACAGAGGAACAAAAGAGAAUCCUCCUGGAAGCUAGAAAAAAUGUCCUCGGACCAGAUGGGCAACCGACACAACUUCCCCUUGAACCGACUCAACUGGGACCCCAACACCUUUGAAGGUAGGGAGCAUCUGUCCACUUAUCACCGGGCUCUAAUAGUGGGUCUCUGAGCAGCCGCUAGAUGGCCAACUAAUUUGGCCAAGGUAAGAGAAAUUAUUCAAGGGCCUAAUGAAUCUCCCUCUAUGUUUAUGGAGAAAAUUAUGGAGGCAUAUAGGAGAUAUACUCCUUUUGAUCCUCAGGCAGAGGAUCAAAAGGCAUCUGUCACGAUGGCCUUUAUUGGGCAAGCUGCCCUGGAUAUUAAAAAAAAAAAGUUACAAUGCUUAGAUGGAUUACAAGAUAUGACUUUGAGAGAUUUAGUCAGAGAAGCUGAGAAGGUAUACUAUAAGAGAGAAACUUAGGAAGAGAAGGAACAAAGGAGGGAGAAAGAAAGAGAGCAAAAGGAGAAAGAAAGGGAGCAAAGGGAGGAUGAAAGAAGCAAAAGACAGACUGAGGCAUUGACUAAGGUCCUGGUCACAACAACAAAUAGGCCAGAAGUUAGGAGACAGGGAGACAGAAAGGGAUACCUGGGCCCACGCCAAAAGCCACCUCUGGCCUCAGAUCAAUGUGCCUACUGUAGAGAAAAAAGACACUGGGCCAAAGAGUGCCCUAGAAAGAGACAGCCAUGCCAGCCAGCCAUUCUGACUCUGGAGGAUGACUAGGAAAGUCAGGGCUCGGAUCCCCUCCCCAAGCUCAAAGUAACUUUUGAAGUGGAGGGAACCUCAGUAAACUUUGAAGUAGAUACAGGGGAAGUAUACUCAGCCCUUAAGGCCCCCUUGGGCCCUCUAUCAACUAAAAGGUCUCAAGUUCAAGGGGCUAAUGGCAGUAAAUAUUGGGCUUGGACAACUAAGAGGACCAUGGACCUGGGGAAA